rnacentral:lncRNA from 1 species
GUUGACCCGUUUAGGAGUUAUUGCCCUUUAUAGUCAAUUUUUAACCAUUUUUCGUUAAUUAAAGUAAUCUUUUACAAAAAUCUUCUCCUCUGAAACUACUGGGCCAAAUUAAUCCAAACUUGGCCACAAUCAUCUUUGGGGUAUCUAGUUUAAAAAAUGUGAUGCGUGACCUUGUCAACCAACCAAGAUGGCCGCCACCGCUAAAAAUAGAACAUAGGGGUAAAAUGCAGUUUU